UUGGGACAGAAGAGUGGUGAGAAAGACCUCCUCGGAGGCCUGGGGCAUGUGUGAUGCUCCAGUGAAAACAACAGAAUCAGGGUGUGAGCAGGCAUCUCCGUGGAUUUGCCAGACGCAAUUUACCAAUCUUCUCAGCACAGACUCUUACAAAGACUGCAUUCCUGACUAUGUCACAGAGCCCAGGAGGGCAGGCAGAAAGCAUAAACCACCCGUGUGAGCAGAGGAAAGUGGCGUGGAGAAGUCGUGUAAGAACCCUUUAAUGGAUAUGUAAAUGGCAUCAGUGAGGGAGACUAAAUGGCAGUGGAGUGUUGCUUAGAGGCGUUUUAUGCAUUUUAUGAUGUUUUGUGCAUUUGAAAAUACUGGUAACAGGAAGAGAGGGACCCUAUCACAAUUCUGGUCUCUCAUUAUUUGUACAUAAUAAGCAUAUCCAUUAUCGUUAUUUAGACCACUUGCUAGUCUGAAUUUUUCCAGAAAUGAUGUUUUCCCAGAAUGUCUAGGACUUCCUCUCUCAUACUGAGUUGUUGAGCUUGGAGUCUGCUGCAGGUUAGAGUCUGAAGCCAAAUUUGUCACGAGGUGUCUCAGCCAGAAUACUGAGCUGCUCAGGGUCACCUGCCCAGGAAAGCAGCCAGGGAAUUCCUGGGCAUUGAGACCACACGGGAACGUGAGCAUCUAUUGCUAGAGAGCUGUGCAGUGUGGGACAGGCAGUCCGAAGAUUUUUGAAAGAAGCAGCUGCACACAUUGUCUGUUUCACCACUCAUGGGCAGGUGGAAAGCUGAGCCUGGAGAGGUAAAGUUGUUGGCUGGCCACAGGCAGGGGAGGGGGAACCUGCUCCCUUGGGCCUUUGUUGCUGUGCUGGGUGAAGGUUGUGGAGAAGCCUUGCCUCUAGAAAGAGAGGACAGGAAGAGAGCAGUGAUGCCUUAGGAAAAGAAAAAACUGCAAGUUACUGAGCACUGACCACGGGCCAACACCUGUCAGUGCUUGAUGUCAGCCACAGCCCUGAGGGACAAGGGCAUGGAGCCUGGGUCCGUGAAGUGAGCUCUCUCUCUAAGGUUGGAGGUGAAGCGAGGGGGCAUGUGCAGUGUGAACUGGGGGCUCUGACUGCAAGUGCUGUCCACCAUUGGAUCCAGGUGGCUGGGCAUACUCUCACUGUCCAGACGAUGACUGGAUUCGGGGGUCUUUUCUGGUGCCAGAUUUCCAGUGUGUGUCGGCAGCUCUGGUUUUUGUUGGUCCCUUAUCACCAAAGACCACUUCCCCUUUGCCCUUGUGGGGGAUGUGAAGGGUGGCCCUGAAUCACGCACUUCCACUUCCUCUGGUCUUCGCUGGAGCUCUGAAAAGGUGUGAACACCAAACACUACUAUUCUGGGCUGAUGGCGUUCAAUCUGGCCUUCUGUGCACCUGGAGCAUGGGCAGCUCAUCUUGGUCUCGCUGAUGGCACUGUUUUCCAGUGGCUGAAGGAGCAGGUGAUGCUCUGUUUUGCAUGUUCUGUGCUUUCUGCAGACUCCCCUGGUCACACUUGGGCCUGGGAGCUGCAUGGUCACCCAGACAGGGCAUGUCUCAGCCUGCCAGCCUUGGAAGGAAACAUCCCCAACCCAUCAGUGAGUCCUUGCCGCAUCCUAUGACCUUCCGGGUCCCAGGGCCCAGAGCACACCUGCCUCUCAUGAGACUUUCCUCAGCUGGGAUUUAAGUCUGAAUUGCUUAAGAGGAAAGGAGCAGGUCCACAAGGACUCAGAGGCUACAGCAAGUGUCCAGUGAAGCUGUCACAUGUGAUUAAGAAGAGAAAGAAGCCUGUCCCAUGUUCCGGGAUGGACUGGUCUGGCUGCUUAAGGCAGCUACGCUGAAUAAAAUGAUAUGACAAUGCCCCAUGUCUUGAAACUUCAGCUUCCUCCUCUUCAUCCGGGAGCCUCCACCCUGGUCUGAAGCUGUCCCUUCUAUCCUAAGGCCUGCCUUGCCUUCAGAACCCAUGGUCUGUCAGGCCUCCCGGUUCCUCAUUCCCCCAGAUAGAGGUGUGAGGGAGGAGCUCUUCCCACCUUCUGCAGACAGGCAGACUGAGGCUUGAGCAUCUGUGGCUUGCUUUUGAGGACACAAGGGAGGUGGGGGGCCUAGCUGGAGCCAGGUCUUUAGAUCACGGCUCUGGGCUUUCCGCCCACCUCACCCUGACUCCUCGUCUAGCCUCAUCCCCGAUUUCCCCAUUAGACACCUGCUCUCUACCAGGAGACCAAGCAGGAAGGUUUCCUUAGCACCCUUGGGAAAUCUUCUGUUCUUGGGGUACAUUUGGAGUGAUUUCCAGAACGACACCAUCCCCUACCUCCUGAUGUCCUCACCCAGGUGUCCCACAGGCAUGUCUGUCCUUCCCUGCCCAAAAGGGACCCCACCAUCUCCCCCAUCAACAGCUCUUCCCUUUAUUAGACCCCCACCUCUAACCCAACACCCUGAUCAGAGCCUGCUGCUGAGCUUAUCCACACACCUGCCUUCCAGUGGCCUCUCCUUCCUCCCAGCUCUCAUCCCUCCCUUCUCUUCACUCUUGCCACGCCUCAGGCACUGAUCGUUUCUUACCAUGACCAUUGAAACUAUCUCGGACGGGUCCCCCGCUGUGGCAUCCCCGCUCCACGUGGCCCUGGGUGCCUUGCCCUCUCUCACUCCCAGUCUUAGGAACCUAUUCUGGUAACGUGAGCGAUGGGAGUGCACCGGAGUGUGUGAGUUUGCCGGUGGAUUUGCAGAGGGCUGGCGAGCCAGGCCUGGAGCUGGCAGGCGUGAGGGGCUCCCUGGAAAAGACGAACCCAUCUCCCCCACUUCGCUGUGUCACACCAGGUGUCCACUAGAGUUGCCAACUGUGACAGUGUCCGGAGGUUCUCUGGCUGGGGCUCUGAAAGAGACUGACAAAGGCAGAUUAACGAGAGAAAAACAGACACGAGUUUAUUACCACGUGCAUCACGCACACCCAUGGGAACGUCCGCACUCAGCCAGGCUGAGGCAGGCGGAUCCAACCCCAGCGCGGUGCUUCACGGACAUGUGCGCAUGCGCACUGGCAGAGAGCUGCUGCGGCACAGGGACUUUUCCUCUCUGCUCCUCCAACGCCUCAUCUCUGCCAUUGGGUGGCCUGACUCCAUUUGUCCCACUUUCCAAUAUUCCAUGUGGAUAGCCUAGAACCAUCUAAGAGAUAAGGCACCCAGAUCGCAAACCACAGGACUCGGAAUUCUCUGCUUGUCUCCUAAUUAGAAGCCAUUGAAGAGUCAGUGGACUGAAUACAAAUUAACCAUUAGAUCAACUGAAAAUGUCAAGUUUAGAUGAAUCUGAGUUCUCAUUUAGAUAUUUUCUGGCUGUUGGCCCAGCCCCACAAAUAAAUACACAUUUGAAAGUUAUCCUGUUACUUUGAUAAAAGAAUUUGGUCUCUUACAAAUGAUAAUUCAGCUCUCAAUGUGGCUUAGGUGAACAUAGUUUUGGAUUUCUUCAAGUAAGAUAUAUGAGCACAGUGUGUAUUAUCUUUACAACAGAUAUCCAUAAUAAUUAUAGUAACAAAGCCAUCUUUCUAUAUUUCUUUAAAGUUUGUUUUUUCCUUUUAAGCUCCAUCCCAGGAAUUUGGGCUGUAAUUCAGGGACUUGUAGAACCUCACAGUGAGAGAGGAGUGAAGUCCUGUCUGCUUGGAUUUA
rnacentral:lncRNA from 1 species